rnacentral:lncRNA from 9 species
UUUUUUUUUUUUUUUUUUUUUUUUGUCUUUUUAGGGCUGCACCCAGAAGUUCCCAGAUGCGAUCCUAAAAAGGAAAAAAAAAAAAAAAAAGGAAUGCAUGAAAAAACCUCUUUACUGAACAUGAGCCUCCAACCAGACAGAAUCAACAUCGCUUUGGAGCACCUGGCAGGGAGAGUCCAGCACCCUGGGGAGUAUGGACCCUCCAAAUCCAGGGAGGUGGUUGGUUCUGACACUUGGGACACUUGGAGUGGAGUAGGGUCUGUUUCUGUGACCAGCUUGGGCUUUAGGAAAACCAUAAACAGGGGGACAGAAUGUGAUGGGCUCAUUCAUUUCAUUUUCCAGGACUGAGUGGCCUAGGCAACUGGAUGGAUGUUCUGCCACUGACACAAAGACAGGACCUCCAGGGAUUCAGAUUCUAUAGGCUCUACAGACCUCUAGGAUUCAGAUGCCCUGCUUCCCAGCACCAGCAAGCAUCUGACCCAGGGUAGUUGCUCAGUAACAGUUGCCUAAAUGAUUGAAGGAAGAGAAGAAUGGGUUUACGGACAAAGGAAUUCUUUCUUGGGAAACUGAUAAUGCAGCCACAACUGUGCAUCAGACCUUUAUAUGUAAAUUGAAAACAGAAAAACCCACAAUCCUCUUUUUAUUUAUUUAUUUAUUUUUGCUUUCUAGGGCCGCACCCUGCGGCAUACAGAGGUUCCCGGGCUAGGGGUCGUAUUGGAACUACAGCUGCCGGCCUACACCACAGCCACAGCCAUGCCAGAUCUGAGCCAUGUCUGUGACCUACACCACAGCUCAUGGCAACGCCAGAUCCUUAAUGCACUGAGCGCGGCCAGGGAUUGAACCCGAAUCCUCACAGUUACCAGUCGGGUUUGUUACUGCUGAGCCACAAUAGGAACUCCACAAACCUCUUUUAAAUAUAUUUGAGGGUAAUUUCCCACUUCCAGUGUUAACUCUCCCACAUGGAAACACUGAACAGGGGCUCCAGUCACAUGCCCAUCAGGAUGGGAGAAGGGUCCAUAUGACCAGGUACCCACCCUGGCAAUGGGAAUGAACCACGUCCAUGAAUAGCAACAAAGGUGGGACUCAGCAACAGGGAGAGAAGAAAGAGGACUGCAGAAUCUCUCCUUUUAUGCUAAUACAUAAAACCCAGAAAACAAUGGGGGUGCCUAGGAGGAGGGGGAAUUGUAUCUUUUUCAAAAAGAUCUGAAGCCAAUAUUAUAAAAUGUUAUCAUUUACUGUGUGUUAAAUGUUGUCACUAUUAAAUGUACUUUUACUAUUACUCUCUGGAGUUUGUGGUAUAUUUGAAAGUUCCACAGUUCUGGGGGGUUAUGGAAGUUCCGAGGCCAGGGAUCGAAUCAGAGCUGUGGCUUCGACCUUCACCACAGUUGUGGCAAUGUCAGAUCCUCAACCUGCUGCACCGGGCUGGGGAUCAAACCCGUGCUUCAGCAGCAACCCAAGCCACUGCAGAGACAACGCCGGAUCCUUAACCCACUGUGCCACAGCAGGAACUCCCAAAAGUUCCAUAAUUUGGGGGAGUGAGGAUUUUCUCAAUUUAUCAGAAAUCACUUAAGAACCAAGUGGGUACUUCACUUAGCCUUUGUUAUAGAAAAGAGAGCAUAAUUAUUUAGAGUUAUUUUGUUUAGAUAGUACAAAAAUCAUACUUGGGAACAAGGAUUCUCCUUUGAAUUAACUCUCCCAGUCUCCUAACUCUGGGAUUCUCCCUCCCUCUAACCAGUCAGGCUGCCCUGUAACCCAGGCACAUCCUUACUAGAACCCUGCAGUGUCCCCUGCUGUGAAGCCCCCACCACCUCUCCCUCCUCCUGGGCCUCCCCCUGCCUCCCACUGAUCCUGCCUCAGACAUUGUUCCCCCAGGGCCAUCUCCAAAUCAUCAGAUUCACUUAACUGAGAGCAAUCAAGCUUUCCAUGCACUGGAAGUGAUGGUUUUCAAAUUCCAAGAUGCAUCAGAAUCCCCUAGAGCUUGUUGAAACAGACUCCCAGGCCUUGCCCCCAGGAGUUUCUGAUUCAGGAGGUCAGGGGUGGAUUCGAGAAUCUGCCUUUCUAACACGUUCUCAGGGGAUGCUGACGCUGCUGGUCCAGGGACCACACUCGAGAAGCUGCUGGCCUAUCACGUCUCUGUCUCAUCUGCGCUACACGUGCCGGUGAGAGUGAAUGACACCCUCCUGUGCACCGGUCUGUCCCUUCCUGGUACCCUCUGCCCCCAGUUUCAUCAUCACAACAGUAUCUGGCAUCAAUCUUUAUUGUCAUCUCUCUCAGCACAGAACUCAUCAUGUUUAUUUCUGCUUUGUCUGGACCAAGCCAACUCCUGACCAGAAGAGACUAUUCAAAAAUUAAGUCAACAUUAUGGUGUGAAGAGUGAAGAGGAGGAUGAGAGAGGAGAUGAAAAGGCCAAAGAAAAGAAAGAAGGAGAAAAGCAACAAGGCCAGAGGCAGGACUGGAAAAACUAGAAGAAAGUUGUUCUCCAUUCCCACCGAGGGCGUCCCUGGAUCAGGCAGAUGUCCUGCUUCUCAGUCAGCCAAGAAGCAGAGGGGCCCUUUUUUCAUCUCUGUGUGCAAAUACAGAGCCCACAGAGCAGCAGAAAAUCAGAGCAUCAGAGAAGGAGAGUUUCUGACAGGCAGGAACACUUCCUUCGGAAAACCCUCACCUCCAGAGUUCUGCUGUCAUCAUCUCCCGUGAGGCCUUCAGAUGUCCUCAGGCCCUGCCCCCCACUCUCCUGAAAGCCCACAGCCCCCAAGUCAGCCCCCAGCAAUCUGGGCCCACAGGGCCUGUCCCUGAAGAAGCCCACUGUCCAGACACCCACCGAGGCAGGAUGAGAAACUGAGCUGACAGUUUCCUUUCGCAGGGGCUUGGGGCUUAAACACACUCCACCUUGAGUCAGGAAAAAAAAUCUGUGGCAAAGGACAAGGUGGGCUUGGAGGAGCUGGGGCUUGGGCCUUUACAGAGGUCAAGGCUGGAGAGGAGGGAGGAGUCACCCACUCCAGAAUUCCCAUCUUUUCCAGGUGCACGGGAGCCCCUGGGCCACUCCCCUAGAUUCUCACGUAGUCAGCCAACCCUCCAUACUCAUGGAUGUGGAAUUCGCGGAAACCGAGGGCCUACCAAACAACAGCAUUUUAUAUAAGGAACUUGAGCACCCCUGCAUUUUUGUACACACAGGGGGUGGGGGGUGUUGGCAAGGGUAUUCUGGGGAAAAUCCCCUGUGUCACCAAGGGCUGACUGUGACUGGCCUGGAGCGCAGUCUGGUUGCCAGAUUUGCUCCCGGGGUGAUCUGAAGGGCAGACUUGAGUGUCGUGCCCUAGAGUCGAGUCCAGCCUUUUAUCUUCCUUCUGCAGGAAGAGGCUCAGAGAGGCUCAGUGACUUGCUGCCUUGGGACAUGUAACAAGUUAGGAGAAGAAGACAGGUGAGAAGCUCGAUCACUGUCCUCGAGGAGAAAAUAAGUCUCCUGUGAGCUUGAGGUUGGAGCUUGUUGGCCAUUCCCUCCCUGGCAGCUCCCACGGGGAGGAUUUCCCCCAUGGCCACCCAGGGAGUAAAUCUCCUGGCUGGACAGGGGCAGAACCCAGUUCUCCUUCUAGCAUUUCUCUGGGGAGCUCUGUCCUCACGCUGCUGAAAUGAGCCUGGAAUAUUCCUCUUCUGCCAAGUGGGCUCCUGGGAGGCCUGAUGCCCUCGGGCCACUGCCUACUGAACCCUUUGCAGGGAAUUACAAUUGUGUUUGGCCUGGGGCAGCAGCCAGCUCACAGGAUUCCCCCCUGCCUGUAUCUUUACUCCUAGGAGGGAGCUGACCACUUUAGAUGGUGGCACAGCAAGUGACCCAGAGGGGCAUAAGCAGGACUAGGAAGUGAAUCAGGAACAGAAAAAUAGUUAGAGAAGCCUGCGGUUGACUGAGCGUCAGGCACUGAGCCUUUAGCACAUGAUCCCAGACUUCUCGUGAAAACCCUCCAGCAGGCAGCCCCCACGGACGAGGUGGCAGUGAGCCACCACAGGUGUUACUGGGGAGGGGCCGUGACAGAGUGGGGAGAUGGGAGCUAGAGGGCCAGGCCUCUCUUGCAUUGAUUUGCCGGGCAUACUAAGCCCGCCCUGGACUGAUGCAGGCUGGGAAAUUCCCAAGAUGCUUCAGAGCAAGGCCGGUUUUCUAAGAGCGGGAUGCCCCACUGUCCCCACUUUGCAGGAUGGCCCUCAUAGGUUAGAAAAGAGCAAAGUGAGGUGACCAAGAAAAAUGCCAAAGGGACGUCCAGGGAUGUCCUGGGUGAGUCUGUCCACUCUGAGCAGCCCCAGGAACUGGAAAGUAAAUGGGAUGGUGAGAGUGGAACACCAGCUAGUUGCAGCCCUAGUUUCCCCCUGUCUACGCAGACUGUGGUAGGACCAGCCGAGAUCACAAGUCAGGUGUUGGGGGGGUGCACCGCAGGCUGCAGGUGGUAUUUAGACAGCAGCCAUGGCCGUAGGUACUCGUUUUAUAGAAACUGUUUUUCCUUCCUUUAGUCUCUUAAAUCUCAGAACCAAAAGCACAAGUGUAGCGGACAAAGGCCUAUCAGAUGCCUGCAAUGUCACUUUCAUUAACAUGCUGCCAAACGCCAUCCCUAAGACAGCUUUUCAUCCACAGGAAUGAGUCUAUUUGCUACAUCUUUUUAAACACUUCCCGGGUUCAACCAGAGCCUUUAUAGAAGGGGCCCCAUGGCCUGCUAUAAAAGACAGCAUUUACUCUAUGUUAACAGGAUUAGGAGGCUGGACUCAGUGUGUGCCUCUCUGACAGUGCCACAGGGUCAGGGUGGGGUGUGACAGGAGGAAAUGCCCUGUUCUUUCAUCAGCUACUUUGGGAGCAACAAGACCUUGCUUUGUCCCCAGCUCCCUAGUGUGGGGUCGCUGCUAGGUGUCCUUAGUGCUCACCUUGUCUGGAAACCUGCAUCCUUCCUGCUCACCUUGAAGCCCCCUCUCCCUCCCUGGCCUCAGCAUCCUCCUCUGCAAACCAGGGGGCUAUGCUAGGUGUUCGCAAAGGUCCAUCCACACUGAGGAAACUUCAGCAACCUUUUGGGGCGGGGAGAUGCCAGGUCACACAAAGAUGGCUUGUAAAAAAUGUCCAGUUGGUUAUACCAGCGCCUCUCACCCUGUUGGUUGAGAGGAGCAAAGUAUUGGAAGGCCCUAAGCUUUCAUGAUGGUAUACCCAGACAAAAUGAUAAUGUGAAAAGAUAUAUGCACACCUAUGUCCUUAGCAGCACUAUUUACGAUAGCCAAGACAUGGAAGCAACCUAAAUGUCCAUCGACAGAUGAAUAGAUAAAGACAAUGUGGUAUAUGUGUUUGUGUGUAUAUAUAUAUAUAUUCCAUAAAAGAGAAUGAAUAAUGCCAUUUGCAGCCACUUGGAUGGACCUAGAGAUUAUCAUACUAAAUAAGUCAGCCAGAGAAAGAUAAAUACCAUGACAUCACUUAUAUGUGGAAUCUAAAAUAUGGCACAAAUCAACACAUCUAUGAACCAAAAACAGACUCAUAGACAUGGAGAAUAGACUUGUUGCCGAGAGAGGGGUGGUUAGAGAGGGAUGGACUGGGAGUUUGGGAUUAGCAGAGGUCAUUUAUUAUAUAUAGGAUGGAUAAACAAGGCCCUGCUAUAGAGCACAGGGAACUAUGUUCAACAUCCUGUGACAAACCAUAAUGGAAAAGACUAUGAAAGGGAAUGUAUGUCUGUAUAACUGAGUCACUUUGCUGUAGAGCAGAAAUUAACACAACAUUGUAAAUCUACCGUACGUCAUUAAAUUUAAAAAAAGAUCCCACGAUGAAAUAAAGUGGCCCUUUUCUCUAGGGCCCUGUCUUUCAGCAAAUACACCUUCCAAAUUAGAGCCUCUUUUCUCAUAAGAUGCCUGGAUGAUUUUAGCCAACUGUCUGAGGAAAGGCACCUUCCUAUCCUGAGGAUCUCAGCAAGAGCUCCCUAGAUGUUUUCAGGGGGAAGAAAUUCCCAAAGAAUUCUGUCCCCAAUUCAUUAUGUCAGCGGCAUCAAUAUGGGGUGAGGCCAAUGGGUGACCAGUGAGCGGUACAGAGAGAAGGAAGGGCUGACUGUGGCCAACUUACCUCAUGGUGUCCUGGUGAGCAGCUGGGUGGACCACCACAAGGACUGAGUCUGGAAUUGGGGAUAACCAGAUUCCGUGGAUUCAGUGAAGCAUGUGGGCUGGCAGCAGAGCCGGCCACUCUGAUCAAAGGAUGGAAGAUAGCAGGAUGCUGGGUGCAGACUGUUUACAAGCCAGUCAUUUGUGAACCCACCUAUUUUUUUUUUCUUUUUUUUUUUU